ensembl:lncRNA
GCUCCACCCUCAUCCUGAUGGGUGGACUUUGGAAUGUCCCAGGAUCCUCAGUUCUUGGUCCUCUUUUCUCUCUUUCCUUCCUCAGGUGAUGUCAUCAGAGCUGUGGCUUCAUCAUCUGCAUGCUAAUGCCACCCAUGAAGAUCACUCUGACUCUCUCAAAGGCACCUCAAGGGUAAGUUGAACAAACUCCUGACACAUCCCGAAGACUCACACCAGUCCUGCACAGAUUUCCUACCCAUUGCAGUAGGUGGCAACCUUGUCCUUCCAGGUACUCAAUCCAAAGCCCUGGGAACUAAGUGACUGUGAUUCUGCUAUUGUCCCCACCCUCCUUCAGCAAACUCUCAGAACCCACCCAGGGUCCCCAGCCAUGCUGGUCUUCAACUAGACCACUGUAAUUACUCCUAACUGGUGUCCUGCCCUCUUGGCCCCUGGCAGAUAACGACUGUUAACGCAGUGAUCCUGAGAAAGCAGAGGUUGCUCUUUACUCCUGAUUCAUGAGCCUCUGUGAUCCUCACCUUCCUCCGUCUAAAGGAAGCCCAUCACCUUCACCACAGCCUUCAAUGCCCACAGAAGCUGGUCCCUGCCUCCUGGCCAACUGCGUCUCCCAAAUCUCCCUGUUCCUUGUGCUCAUUGGGGCUCCUGGAGCCCACCAAGCCUCCUACUUCAGACUCUCAAAGCAGGGCACAAGACCAGAACUUGGGACAGCUUCUCAAAAACCACAUGAAACAGACUGUAGAUGCAACAUGAGAUUAAAAGCUGAACCUCGUCCAGGUCAGGAAAUUCCAAGGGCAGUCUCCCAGCUCGACUCCAGCUCUCUCGGUCGCCCCCAGGGUGACUUGUCCACCAGCCAGGAUGGUGGGAUGUCAGGAGACCCAUGCGUGCCGCAGGGGCACCUGCAUCCUCUGGAACUUCCUGAGGAUCUGACACUUGGAUUUCCCAACCAGCUCCUAGAGACAUUUCCAGCCCCCUUUCUGGGAACAAUUUUCAGCCAGACUCCCUGCCUCCUGUGUCCUGGUGUUUCCCUCUCUGACCAAACUUUCCCCAUUGGGUUUAUAUACUGCUAUUUCCCCAUCUUUAAUACACUCCUCUGUUGAACUCCUAGCUGCUGCCCUAUUUCUUUGCUCCUCUUGGCAGUAAAACUGGUUCAAGUUGUGUUCCUGUACCUGAUUUGCCCCUAGAACGCUCUCUCAAGCCCUCUGCAAAUACUUUGUGACACCCUCACUCCCAGUGACCCUCCAGUGGCUAAACCCAAGUCAGUGCUUAGCCUCACCUUGCAGAUGUCAGGGUGACUGAGCACCUCAGCACCUGCUCUUCCACACUCUGCUCACCUUCAUCCAGGCUCCCUACCCUGGUCCUGCCAUGCCCAGUCCUCUCUUCCACUCCUUCCUGUCUCCUGCCUCAUGGCUCGAAAAGUCUCUACAGGCUGCUCUGCCCAACCACCACCUCCUCAACCCUCCAUCUCAAGCUCAGAUGGGCAUCCAGGGCUUAAAUUCCAAUCUGCAGGCCUCCCCAGACCUGCCUGCCUCCACCUUUCUUCGGAUGCAAAACUGCUCUCUCUCUCCUUACAUCCACCUGUCUGUCAUUCAGUUGCCUAUAAAGGAAACCUAGGACCUGACACCUCUGAUCCUCUCCCUGCUACUGCCCCCCCUCUCCAAGCACUCUUUAUCACCAACCUGGAUCCUGUUAAAACAUGCAACUUUUCAACCUCUGAAGGCUCCCUUUCCAGAGCUCGGCAGAAAUCCAAAUGCUAGCAUGACAUCUCCAGCUCCUUUCUGCCCCCCUGCCUCUUGCCGCUCUUGCCCUAUGCCUACAAACCUUGCCUCCUGAGCUCCCACAAACAGAUCUGCUGUUUGUCCCCACACCUAGAUCUGCUUCUGCGACACCAUGGCUCUUCCUUCUUCGAGANUGCCCUAUGCCUACAAACCUUGCCUCCUGAGCUCCCACAAACAGAUCUGCUGUUGUCCCCACACCUAGAUCUGCUUCUGGGACACCAUGGCUCUUCCUUCUUUGAGGAAUAUCUCAAAUAACUCCUUCCCUUCACCCCCUGCCCUGAUACUCUC